rnacentral:rRNA from 1 species
GACGAACGCUGGCGGCGUGCCUAAUACAUGCAAGUCGAACGCAGUGGGGACGGGUGCGUAACACGUGGGUAACCUCCCAUCAGAGGGGAUAACACUUGGAAACAGGUGCUAAAACUGAUACUGAUGGAUGGACCCGCGGUGCAUUAGCGAGUUGGAGAGGUAACGGCGCACCAAGGCCACGAUGCAUAGCUGGCCUGAGAGGGUGAUCGGCCACACUGGGACGGAGACACGGUCCAGACGGCUACGGGAGGCAGCAGUAGGGAAUCUUCGGCAAUGGGCGAAAGGCUGACCGAGCAAUGCCGCGUGAGUGAAGAAGGUUUUCGGAUCGUAAAACACUGUUGUUAGGGAAGCGGUAUCUAACGAAAAAGCCACGGCUAACUACGUGCCAGCAGCCGCGGUAAUUC